AACGAACGCUGGCGGCAGGCUUAACACAUGCAAGUCGAGCGGGCAUAGCAAUAUGUCAGCGGCAGACGGGUGAGUAACGCGUGGGAAUCUACCCAACCCUACGGAAUAACGCAUGGAAACGUGUGCUAAUACCGUAUACGCCCUGACGGGGAAAGAUUUAUCGGGGAUGGAUGAGCCCGCGUUGGAUUAGCUAGUUGGUGGGGUAAAGGCCUACCAAGGCGACGAUCCAUAGCUGGUCUGAGAGGAUGAUCAGCCACAUUGGGACUGAGACACGGCCCAAACUCCUACGGGAAGCAGCAGUGGGGAAUAUUGGACAAUGGGCGCAAGCCUGAUCCAGCCAUGCCGCGUGAGUGAUGAAGGCCCUAGGGUUGUAAAGCUCUUUCACCGGAGAAGAUAAUGACGGUAUCCGGAGAAGAAGCCCCGGCUAACUUCGUGCCAGCAGCCGCGGUAA
rnacentral:rRNA from 1 species